UACGAAGGGGGCAAGCGUUGUUCGGAAUUACUGGGCGUAAAGGGCGCGCAGGCGGCCGAUCAAGUCAGAUGUGAAAGCCCCGGGCUCAACCUGGGAAUAGCAUUUGGGACUGGUCGGCUAGAGUUCGGGAGAGGAGAGUGGAAUUCCCAGUGUAGAGGUGAAAUUCGUAGAUAUUGGGAAGAACACCGGUGGCGAAGGCGGCUCUCUGGACCGAGACUGACGCUGAGG
rnacentral:rRNA from 1 species